UUGGCUCAGUCGGUAGUA
rnacentral:miRNA from 1 species